rnacentral:lncRNA from 1 species
CUACUUCAUCUUUGUAUUUGAUGAAUUGAGAUGUAAAAGAAAAGAAUGUAAUAUUUAUCUCGAGGAGAAUGUGAUGUAAAAAGAAAUGAUGAAAAGUAUGUAAAGAACUAUGAAUGUACAAGUUAAAUGCAAUGUAUGUGAUCACAAGAGAAUCAUAGUACUUGUGUAGAUGUUUAGUUUCCUUUCUUUCACUCAUGACUAUUGCUUACCCUCGUGUAAGCCGUUUGUGUAUGUUUCCACUAGUACUUUUCUCUACUUGAAAAUGUACAGGUGAUAAGCCUUGGGCGAGCAGGAGAAACUCUGUCCGUUCGGCAUCUGUUUGACGUGCUCGGGCCGGCCGAAAUUGGUAUCGGUUUCGGAGCAUGACAGAUAUUGUGAUAUCAGAGCCAAAGUGAAAGAAUAAGAAUGGACCUACAGACCCUUAGGACUGGCAAGGACUUAAGGAUCUAGGAAACGUGAGUGAUAUGGAAUUAAAGUUAGCGAAAGCAUGCAAUUGGGUGAAGUUGUUUUG